CAUAGCGACUAUCGUGGCAUAUCAAUAAGCGGAGGAAAAGAAACUAACAAGGAUUCCCUUAGUAACGGCGAGUGAAGCGGGAAGAGCUCAAAUUUGAAAUCUUCAAGGUUCUACCUUGACGAAUUGUAGUUUAUAGAAGUGUUUUCUGUUAGUGAGUUGGUAAAAGUUCUUUGGAAUAGGACAUCAUAGAGGGUGAGAAUCCCGUAUUUGGUCAUUACUUUCCUAGCUUUGUGAUACACUUUCAACGAGUCGGAUUGUUUGGGAAUGCAGUCCAAAAUGGGUGGUAAAUUUCAUCUAAAGCUAAAUAUUGGCGAGAGACCGAUAGCGAACAAGUACCGUGAGGGAAAGAUGAAAAGAACUUUGAAAAGAGAGUUAAACAGUACGUGAAAUUGUCAAAAGGGAAGCGUUUGACACCAGUGUUGUUUUUCCGAAAAUCAAUUACGAAUGUUUGAUUUUGAGUAGUUAUGACUUCAUCAGCUUGCUGCCUUUCUUUAUGAAACUUUCUUAAUGCACUUUUCGGUUAACAAGUCAACAUCAAUUUCUUUUGUUGUAAAAGGGUAUGAGGAAGGUGGCUUUCUUUUCGGAGAAAGUGUUUAUAGCCUUGUAGCCUCUGCAAUCGGAGAGAUUGAGGUCUGCAGCGUAGAUCCUUCGGGGUUAGAUACAGUUUGUGCUAAGUUAUAGCUUUUCAUAGACAACUUGUUGACUAUGUUAGUCUUGUAGCUUACUCGCUGAUGCUAUUUUACCUACGCUUAGGAUGUUGACGCGCGUGUGUGCGUG
rnacentral:rRNA from 1 species